GGAGGGGUGGCUGAGUGGUUGAAAGCGUCUGUCUUGAAAACAGGAGUAUCCGCAAGGGUACCGCAGGUUCGAAUCCUGUCCCCUCCGCCA
rnacentral:tRNA from 1 species